GAGAUGGAGCAGUUGGUAGCUCGUCGGGCUCAUAACCCGAAGGUCGUAGGUUCGAGUCCUGCUCUCGC
rnacentral:tRNA from 1 species